AUGCAUGUCUAAGCAUAAGCCGAAUAUGGUAAAGCCGCGAAUGGCUCAUUACAACAGCCAUAGUUUAUUGGAUCUUAGAGUCCUACUUGGAUACCUGUGGUAAUUCUAGAGCUAAUACACGCAAUCGAGCCCCAACCUGACGGGCGGGGCGCAUUUAUUAGAACAAAACCAAUUGGCUUCGGCCAUUUAUUGGUGGAUCUGAAUAACUACGCUGAUCGCACGGUCUCGCACCGGCGACGUAUCCUUCAAGUGUCUGCCUUAUCAACUUUCGAUGGUAGUUUACAUGACUACCAUGGUUGUAACGGGUAACGGAGAAUAAGGGUUCGACUCCGGAGAGGGAGCCUGAGAAACGGCUACCACAUCCAAGGAAGGCAGCAGGCGCGCAAAUUACCCACUCUCAGAACGAGGAGGUAGUGACGAAAAAUAACGAGACAGUUCUCUAUGAGGUCUGUCAUCGGAAUGGGUACAAUCUAAACCCUUUAACGAGGAUCUAUUGGAGGGCAAGUCUGGUGCCAGCAGCCGCGGUAAUUCCAGCUCCAAUAGCGUAUAUUAAAGUUGUUGCGGUUAAAAAGCUCGUAGUUGGAUCUGCGGUCACAGACGCCGGUCUCCUUCACGGAGUACUGGUUGUCUUGACCUACCUUACUGGUUUUCCCUUGGUGCUCUUUACUGAGUGCCCUGGGUGGCUAGUACGUUUACUUUGAAAAAAUUAGAGUGCUUAACGCAGGCUUUUGCCUGAAUAGUGGUGCAUGGAAUAAUGGAAUAGGACCUCGGUUCUAUUUUGUUGGUUUUCGGAGCACGAGGUAAUGAUUAAGAGGGACAGACGGGGGCAUUCGUACUGCUGCGUUAGAGGUGAAAUUCUUGGAUCGCAGCAUGACGAACAACUGCGAAAGCAUUGCCAAAAAAAGGGA
rnacentral:rRNA from 1 species